GCCGGGCGCGAUGGCUCACACCUGUAAUCCCAGCACUUUGGGAGGCUGAGGUGGGUGGAUCACCUGAGGUCAGGAGUUCGAGACCAGCCUGGCCAACAUGGUGAAACCCCAUCUCUG
rnacentral:SRP_RNA from 1 species